rnacentral:lncRNA from 1 species
AGCAGAAUCUAUUUUAAAUUUUAUAAUUAAACUAUGCUGAAAAUUUUCUAAGCAUUAUUGCCACUUUUUUUACAGGGCAUUUUUUUACUUGUAGAAGAGUCCCUGAUGUUUUGGUUCCAAAUGCUACAGCCUUAGAAGAUGACAAAAUCACAAACAGAUGUUGGAAAUGCCCAGGACAUCCAACCCUAGCAUAGCUUUUUCAAAAAUAAUUUCCAAUCUAAUUUGGUUUGUUGGUCUUGUUUCUUUUUUAUGCCUUAUCAUUAAACCCACAUCAAACUUCUUGGCUUGACACAGAACAGGAAGUUUGUAAGUUUAAGUGUUCAAGGCCAGGUUGGAUGGAGCUUCAAGCAAGAGCCCUGUCCAUGCCCGUGACAGAAAGAUGGGAUUAGAUGAUUUUCAAAUCUCCUUUCCAACCAAUCCGUUCUAUGACGUCUAGAGGAGGACAAAAAGAAGUACAUACCUUUCUGCCUUUCACUUUUGGAAUCAAAACUUUGGGACCUGAUCCAUGGAAUUGCCAUAGUAGAAUUCAAUAUGGAAGGAAAAGAAACCUUAUUCAGGUUAAGAAAGGGAUUGCUCCUGAUGGAUCUGUUCCAGAGCUGCCCCCUUCAGCUGCUGGAGCCCCAGACCCAUGGCAGCUCCCCAGCUUCCAGGCUUCUGAGAGAACCAGGGGAAAAUACCAAUGUCCCAGAAACAGAUUUCAAUCUGCCUGAGCAGCAAAUUCCUAACAGAAAAUGUUUUGUCAAAACUUUUCUAGUCUCUUCUAUUUGUAAUUAAAGGCUUAUGUUUUACUAUAAAAGAGAUUAUUGUGCUGUGUGUAGCAUGUUUCUGGGUACCAGUGCUGUUGUUUGGGUACUAGGGGUGGUAGGAUGUUGGUGCUGAUCCUCUCCAUCCCAACUUUGAACCAUAAAAUACCAAAGAAAUUUCCCCUUGCUUUAGAAUUCCUUCCCAUAGCUGAAAUGAAGGUCAAAAUUACUUAUAACACCUUCGACACUGGCAUAGGAUUUUGAGAAGGAAUCACAUCAUAAAAGGUAUCAGUCUGUUGCAGGAGCAGUAAUGGCCUGGACCAGGCCAGGCAGGUAGCACCUGAAACUUGGUCAUGCAGAGGACUUUGUGUAAUAAAUGGCAAGAAUUUCUCUCUUGUAGUGGUGAA